rnacentral:RNase_P_RNA from 1 species
CAAGCGGGUCGGAUGGUCGCGCUCCGAGGUUCGCCGAGGGGUGAGGAAAGUCCGAGCACCACAGGGCAGGAUGCUGGGUAACACCCAGGCGGGGUAACCCGACGGAAAGUGCAACAGAGAACAGACCGCCAGCGGACGAGCAUCGCUCGUAGCGGGCAAGGGUGAAACGGUGGGGUAAGAGCCCACCGCGGCUCCGGUGACGGAGCUGGCACGGCAAACCCCAUCCGGUGCAAGGCCGAAUAGGAACGGAGAGGGGGCCCGCCUCGCCAAUCGGUCUGAGCGCUCGCGCUUGGACUGCACGUUCGGGUUGGCUGCACGAGGUAUCGGGUAACCGAUGUCCCAGAUAAAUGACCAUCCGUCGGCCCUUCGGGUCCGGCGACAGAACUCGGCUUACAGGCCCGCUUGUAUA